AGCUAGUGUGGUGUAGUGGUUUGAGCACUGGACUAUGACUCUGGAGACUGGGGUUCAAAUCUUCGCUUGGCUA